CUCUCCCUCUCUUUCGAUCUCCCGAUCUCAACCGUCUCUUUCGAUCUCCCUCCCUCUCUCUCCCUCUCCCUCAAUCUCCCUCCUUUACUUUUCUGAUGAUUUGAUUGUAAGGACACAGGAUCUCUCAUCUUCCACGCUUCAACCCACGCCCCAAUUUGUCUUUCCAAUCUUCCAAGCUCUGGAAUCUUCCUCUCUCUCUCUCUGUCUCAUCUCUUCCUAACUUUCUCUAGUCAUCGCCUCCGGCUAAACCGCCGGAUUUUCACCGGGAUCCACCCUGAAUCUUAUGCCAUUCUCGCCUUAUAGUGAGCUUAAUCAGGACAGGCAUCUUGUGCACAAACGAGAUGGGUAAAACUCCACUCCAGUGACUCGUAAUAGCAUAAUCUAUUAUUUCAGGGCAAUGUUGCCAUGGGUGAGUGGUUGAAUAAGUAGUGUUUGGCAUCUAUGUAUGUAGAGUGCAUAAUUUUCAUCAGCUGGAAAGGUAUUUGGUUGAAUAUCUUCAUAUGUAGCAUGAUAUAUAUAAAUCCCUUGAUAUUUCAGGGCAAUGUUGGCAUGGGUGGGUGGUUGAAUAAGUAGUGUUUGGCAUCUGUGUAUGUAGAGUGCAGAAUUUUCAUCUGCUGGAAAGGUACUUAAGAGAUGCUAGAUUUGGUUCAAUUUGUAUGGAGAUACUAAUGUAUUUACUUGGGCCAUGUAGAUGACGCAUAGGUGCAGUAUAUGGAUCGUGUACGCCUUGGGAAAUGGUGAAGGGUGGGAAGCUAAUCUUCUCAUUUGAUGCAACAAAGAAAGCUCGCUUUGGCGUGGUUGGUAUGAUAUUAUCCUUCAAGAUUAGGUUGCAAGACUGCCAAUUCCUUAUGGACUUCUGAGUAAUCAAGACACAAGAACAGAACACAGUUCUAUUGGGGUUUUUGAUACUGAAUAUUUCUUGCUCAUUCUGCUUAUGGAAUACUGAUCUCAUCUUGUCUGUCUCAUGAACAAACCUCAUCAAAAUUUGAACCCACGCUUCAAUCGUUUAUCUAGUGCACAACAACAAUUUAGAUCCAUGUAGGAUACUGGAUAAGCUGAUGAAUCCCAUGGCAUUUGACAUCAGGUUAGAUGGAUGCACAUAUCAUUCUCUCGACUUGAAGAGCUUUUUAUUUUAUUUUAUUUUAUUAUUCUCCAACACCUGAUACUGAAUAUAACAUUUUGCUCACUGGUGGGAGUUUUUGGAAUGGCCAAUCAAGUCAUUGAGAACCAUCCAUUGUCAUCUAACAUUUAGCUUGCAUCACUGAUUGAACUGUUGAAUAUUUUUGUUACCAGGGAGCUGGUGUCAUUUUCUUGAAAACUUGUUUGUUAUUCCAUGAAUAGGAAAAUACUAGGUGUUC